GGGCCUGUAGCUCAGUUGGUUAGAGCAGUGGACUCAUAAUCCAUUGGUCGUAGGUUCGAGUCCUACCGGGCCCACCA
rnacentral:tRNA from 3 species